AACGAACGCUGGCGGCAUGCCUAACACAUGCAAGUCGAACGAGACCUUCGGGUCUAGUGGCGCACGGGUGCGUAACGCGUGGGAACCUGCCCUUAGGUUCGGAAGAACUCCCCGAAAGGGGUGCUAAUACCGGAUAAUGUCUUCGGACCAAAGAUUUAUCGCCUUUGGAUGGGCCCGCGUUGGAUUAGCUAGUUGGUAGGGUAAAAGCCUACCAAGGCGACGAUCCAUAGCUGGUCUGAGAGGAUGAUCAGCCACACUGGGACUGAGACACGGCCCAGACUCCUACGGGAGGCAGCAGUGGGGAAUAUUGGACAAUGGGCGAAAGCCUGAUCCAGCAAUGCCGCGUGAGUGAUGAAGGCCUUAGGGUUGUAAAGCUCUUUUACCCGGGAUGAUAAUGACAUUACCGGGAGAAUAAGCGCCGGCUAACUCCGUG
rnacentral:rRNA from 1 species